UUAAUCUAGUAUCUACAAUGUUAUGCUCUUCAAGAGCUUUACUUGUCUGUGUAACUGCAUAUAUACCAAAUACCCACCACAAGUCCGCAAGUUUUGAAAUUUCGACCAAACACAGUAGCACUAAAGCAGAAUCUGGUUCUCAAAUAAGUUGAAAUAACCUGGUGGCUGAUCAAAACUGCCCUGCCAUCCCAAAUUUAAAACAAAACAAUUUGCUUCACGAAUCAAAAAUUAAGAAAUUGCAGAAAUUUAGUAACCCCAACAAAAGAAAUUGCAGAAAUUGCUUCUCUUCUUUGCCGAAAUUGCAAGGUUUUACCAAAAUUGAAGAAAUUUAGUAACCCCAAGUCCCCAACAAAAGAUUUCAUCCAAUAAAUUAAGAACAUAAAUUAAAAAAAAAAAACCAGAACAUAGUAGAAUGCCAGAAACAAACUGAAAACAAAAACAGAACAUAGCAGAAGUGCAGAACAUAGUUAAGACUGAAAAACGAAGAGAAAACGAAGGGAAAAAGGUAGAUCGGCGUGGUCGAUCGAUCGAAGUGUAGAGAAGAAGAAGCUACCUGUAGGGAAGACGACUCGGCACGGGAGAUCGAUCGUGGAUCGUUGUCUCUCACUCUCUCUGUUGAACACUUGAACUUGAGGAGUGAGGACUCUCGUCUGACUGUCUGAGUCGUCUCCGAUCUCGCCUCUCGGUCACUCUCUCACAGUGAGAAUUGUAGAACUAAAUCUGAAAAUUGAAAUCUAGAAGAAGGCCAUAAGGGUUAACUGUUAAGCCAGUACUCAGUA
rnacentral:lncRNA from 1 species